rnacentral:tRNA from 1 species
GCUGGGGUACCCAAGUGGACAACGGGAGCAGACUGUAAAUCUGCCGGCCUUGCGCCUGCGUAGGUUCGAAUCCUACCCCCAGCACCA